rnacentral:rRNA from 1 species
GACGAAGGGGGCUAGCGUUGUUCGGAAUUACUGGGCGUAAAGGGCGCGUAGGCGGCCUUCUAAGUCGAACGUGAAAUCCCCGGGCUCAACCCGGGAACUGCGUCCGAUACUGGAAGGCUUGAAUCCGGGAGAGGGAUGCGGAAUCCCAGGUGUAGCGGUGAAAUGCGUAGAUAUCUGGAGGAACACCGGUGGCGAAGGCGGCAUCCUGGACCGGUAUUGACGCUGAGGCGCGAAAGCCAGGGGAGCAAACGGG